rnacentral:rRNA from 1 species
UACGUAGGGUGCAAGCGUUGUCCGGAAUUAUUGGGCGUAAAGAGCUCGUAGGCGGUCUGUCGCGUCGGCUGUGAAAUCCCGAGGCUCAACCUCGGGUCUGCAGUCGAUACGGGCAAACUUGAGUGUUGCAGGGGAGACUGGAAUUCCUGGUGUAGCGGUGAAAUGCGCAGAUAUCAGGAGGAGCACCGGUGGCGAAGGCGGGUCUCUGGGCAACAACUGACGCUGAGGAGCGAAAGCGUGGGGAGCGAACAGG